AAAGUUAUCCAGGCCACUUACCUGAGUGGUUCUGUUUUCCUGUACCUGGCCUCUGUGGAAUACCUGUUUUCACAGUUGACGUAAGGUCAAAUUAUUCUCUCCCCCAGGAAUUUAACAAUGAAGACAAUUUUGCGGUUUGCUGUGUUGUGACGUGAUCUAAUCAGUUUGGUGAAUGAACAGAUCGUAUCCUGAUUGUAAGGAAAUAGAAAAGUAGACGUCACAUAAUAGUUGUGUAUCAAUUGACAUUGUUCAGUUUAUACCAACAACUGAAUCAAGGCCUCUCUACACAAUCAGGAUGUCACUGGAGGAAAAGAGAAGUUUAUAUUGAGAGGACCAGUCAG